GAUGAAGAACGUAGCGAAAUGCGAUACUUGGUGUGAAUUGCAGAAUCCCGUGAACCAUCGAGUCUUUGAACGCAAGUUGCGCCCGAAGCCACUAGGCCGAGGGCACGCCUGCCUGGGCGUCACACGUCGUUGCCCCCCCCCCAUCUACUCCUUCGGGAUUGCGGGGGGCGGAUGAUGGCCUCCCGUGCGCCUAGCCGCGCGGUUGGCAUAAAUACCAAGUCCUCGGCGACGCACGCCACGACAAUCGGUGGUUGCGAAACCUCGGUUGCCCGUCGUGUGCGUUCGUCGCGCAUCGAGGGCUCGAAAAAAUGCUCGGCUCCGGCUCGGCUUUCAACGCGACCCCAGGUCAGGUGGGGUUACCCGCUGAAUUUAAGCAUAUCAAUAGCGGAGGA
rnacentral:misc_RNA from 1 species